UACAGAGGUCUCAAGCGUUGUUCGGAUUCAUUGGGCGUAAAGGGCGCGUAGGCGGCUUGGCAAGUGGAUGGUGAAAUCCCUCGGCUUAACCGAGGAACUGCCGUCCAAACUGCUUCGCUUGAGACCGGGAGAGGUGAGUGGAAUUCCCAGUGUAGCGGUGAAAUGCGCAGAUAUCAGGAGGAACACCGAUGGCGAAGGCAGGUCUCUGGGCCGAUACUGACGCUGAGGAGCGAAAGCGUGGGGAGCGAACAGG
rnacentral:rRNA from 1 species